AAAACAAAAUUUAACGUGGUCACUCUUACAAUUUGAAGAGUGUAUUUGAAGUGUGGCAAAGCUGACAUGACGUUUUAUUGAAUAAGCUGCAAGUAGCUAUAAGACAGAGAAGAAAGGUAAAACUUUGGUGCUUGAAGACUACAUAAGAUGAUUUGCCCGACUUUUUGGUAAUUUUUGUGAUCUGUAGAAUCAUGUUCAUGGUCGAAUUUAUAAAAAUAAAAAGUCCAGAGACCAUUCUUUCGGGUGAUAGAUGGUCAAGACUGCUGAGGGGAAGUCAAAGAGUUUCUGGAGAUUGCAAGUUUGAUCUGCACCAGUCAUGACACCUCGGACAUCCUCAACCACCACACAAUCUAUAGAGUUCGUAAGCGCCUGGAAGACUGGUCCAACCACAAGAAGCGUCCUCGAAAUGGUAAGCCAGUCAAGCUAACCCCUAAAACUACCAAACGCUAUUUUGAGGACAACUUAGCUAUUUCAAUGGCCGAAUUUAGAAAAAAAAACUCCUUAGAAGUUGUAAACGUUUUCUUAAUGACCUCAAACAUCAUGGUGACCAAAUGUUUUUCUUCUAUAAUUAGAAGACAUUAACAGUCGAUCCAGUUAUCAAUCAGCAGAAUACUGAAUUUUACACUUCACGAAUAGUACCAGCAGGCUUUGCUACAUCCCCCAGGCAAAAUGUCUUGCUAUCGUGACGAUGUUGGGUGUCGUGGGAUAGAGGGGGACAAAAUGCUACCCAUUUUUUUCGAUAUUAGUACAGACUUACUGGGGAUGACUACUUGGUAAGCAUGAAGUCCUAUAGAUCACCAAGAUUACCAAAAAGUAGGGCAAAUAAUCUUAUGUGUUCCAUCAGGAUGGUGUGCCAGCUUACAUGGCAAUUCUGUGCAAACCUGGAUGGCACAACAUAUAAAAUUCGUGCCAAAGAACUAUUAAACAACGGUCGAAAGACAGUCUUGCAGGGUUACACGAUUUUUACGAGCCUAUGUCUAGUUAGGUUCCAAUAUAUGUAUAGGUCCUUUAUUAAAUUAAAUCAUAAAAAUUUAUCAACCUCAGAUGCAACUAAAAAAAUCAUAAGGUCCGAAUUAUAGUUGAGUAGCCUUGAUAUAUAUGAUUAAUCAUUCCCUCGGACUCCAGAGUUAAAAUAGUAUAAAUAAUUAUUUGAAGAUAAGUGGAUUUUGAUUUUUAAAUAUAGUCAUACGAUUACUAUAUAAAUGUAUGGUCCUUUAUUUAAUCUUUACAUAAAAAUUCAAAUUUUAUAACGUGAAUUCAGGCAUUUUCCU
rnacentral:lncRNA from 1 species